GGGAGAACCAAACCGCUUGAAAAUUUUCGCGAAUCGGCAUUUGGUAUAUUUUAAUUAUACCGACGGAAUACCUACGAACCCGUGUCCGUCGGAAUCCUCGGAUAUAAAAACCCUCAUUCUUCCUUCUUCGUUAUCUCCGCGGCCCCCCUCUCAAAAAACGCAAACAAUCCGGCGAUUUCUCCCCCUCUCCGGCGAUUCCGGCCUUUCUCCACCUCUCUUCACCGGCGAAUCCUCUCCUCA
rnacentral:lncRNA from 1 species